AAGUCGUAACAAGGUUUCCGUAGGUGAACCUGCGGAAGGAUCAUUAGCGUAAUUCUGGUUGAAAAACCGAGGAUUUCCACACUUGUGUUUUAAGCAAAAGGUUUUCAAAGUGUUCUCUUGUUUUCUUUACUAGAAAAGGGAGACACUAGGAAUUUUUUGCGAACUCAAAAACUGUCUUUUUUUCUUUUCUGUUUGAUUACAGAGGAAGAAGGACGGUAUAAACUUUUUUAUUAUCAAUAAUAAAUAAAAACUUUCAACAACGGAUCUCUUGGUUCUG
rnacentral:misc_RNA from 1 species